AAUCUGCGAGGACCACCUCGUAAGGCUAAAUAUUCCUGAAUGACCGAUAGUGAAAUAGUACCGUGAGGGAAAGGUGAAAAGAACCCCGGGAGGGGAGUGAAAAGAACAUGAAACCAUAAACUUACAAGCAGUAGGAGGACGACUAAAACGUCUGACUGCGUGCCUGUUGAAGAAUGAGCCGGCGACUUAUAGUUAGUGGCAGGUUAAGGUAGAGAAUACUGAAGCCACAGUGAAAGCGAGCCUGAAUAGGGCGUUUGUCACUAGUUAUAGACCCGAACCCGGAUGAUCUAACCAUGGUCAGGUUGAAGCUUAGGUAAUACUAAGUGGAGGACCGAACCGACUGAUGUUGAAAAAUCAGCGGAUGAAUUGUGGUUAGGGGUGAAAUGCCAAUCGAAUUCGGAGCUAGCUGGUUCUCCCCGAAAUGCGUUUUGGCGCAGCGGUAAAUGUUAUAAUUUAGGGGUAAAGCACUGUUACGUAUGCGGGCUGGUAAUUCGGUACCAAAUCGUUGCAAACUAAGAAUACUAAAUGAAUAGUUUACCAGUAAGACUGUGGGGGAUAAGCUCCAUUGUCAAGAGGGAAACAGCCCAGAGCACCAGUUAAGGCCCCCAAAUAAUUACUAAGUGGUAAAGGAGGUGGGAGUGCAUAGACAAUCAGGAGGUUUGCUUAGAAGCAGCAAUCCUUUAAAGAGUGCGUAAUAGCUCACUGAUCGAGUAAACCUGCGCCGAAAAUGAACGGGACUAAGUAAUUUGCCGAAACUGUGCGAUAUAUUUAUAAUAUAUCGGUAGGGGAGCGUUCUGUUGUAGGUCGAAGUAUUAGCGUAAGCGGAUAUGGACGAAGCAGAAGUGAGAAUGUCGGCUUGAGUAACGAAAAUAUAGGUGAGAAUCCUAUACCCCGAAAACCCAAGGUUUCCUCCGGAAGGCUCGUCCGCGGAGGGUAAGUCAGGACCUAAGGCGAGGCUGAAAAGCGUAGUCGAUGGACAACGGGUUAAUAUUCCCGUACCAUUUUUUAUUGAUAUCGAGGGACGGAGAAGGCUAAGCUAGCCGGAUAUUGGUUACCGGUUUAAGCGUUCGAGAUGUUGAGAAACGGCGAAAACGUUUUGAGUUGAGGCGCGAAUACGAGACGCUAAGGCGUUGAAGUAGUGUAUGUCAUACUUCCAAGAAAAGCUUGCACUGUCAUAAAUAAAAAAUGCCUGUACCAUAACCGACACAGGUGGGUAGGUAGAGUAUACUAAGGGGCGCGAGAUAACUCUCUCUAAGGAACUCGGCAAAAUAACUCCGUAACUUCGGGAGAAGGAGUGCCUUAUUCGUAAGGUUGCAAUAACAAGAUCCAAGCAACUGUUUAUCAAAAACACAGGUCUCCGCUAAGUCGUAAGACGAUGUAUGGGGGCUGACGCCUGCCCAGUGCCAGAAGGUUAAAGAAGUUGGUUAGCAUCUGCGAAGCUGAUAACUGAAGCCCUGGUGAACGGCGGCCGUAACUAUAACGGUCCUAAGGUAGCGAAAUUCCUUGUCGGGUAAGUUCCGACCCGCACGAAAGGCGUAAUGAUUUGGAUACUGUCUCGGAGAGGGGCUCGGUGAAAUAGACUUGUCUGUGAAGAUGCGGACUACCUGCACCAGGACAGAAAGACCCUAUGAAGCUUUACUGUAGCUUGAAAUUGAAAUUGGACUUUGCAUGCGCAGCAUAGGUGGGAAGCUUUGAUGAUAAUCUUGCGGGGUUAUUUGAGCUAUCAGUGAGAUACCACUCUUGUAAUGUUAGAUUUCUAACUUUAUAUCAUUAUCUGGUUAAAGAACAGUUUCAGGCGGGCAGUUUGACUGGGGCGGUCGCCUCCCAAAUGGUAACGGAGGCGUACAAAGGUUUCCUCUGAACGUGUAGAAAUCGUAUCUAGAGUGUAAAGGCAUAAGGAAGCUUGACUGUGAGACCUACAAGUCGAACAGGGACGAAAGUCGGUCUUAGUGAUCUGACGGUACUGAGUGGAAAGGCCGUCACUCAACGGAUAAAAGUUACUCUAGGGAUAACAGGCUGAUCUCCCCCAAGAGUUCA
rnacentral:rRNA from 1 species